GGAUGUGUGGCCAGUUGGUGCUGUCCAUCUUCUUGGUGACUAGGAGUAAUUUGGACCAUCUGGGAAACCAGACAAUCAGCUCUUUUCACCCAGGCUGUUUCUUGUGCAUCACUUCUGAAGCUGUGUGCUCAGUCAAGACCUUGCCAGACAGCUGGGUGAGUAGCCUUAGGUCAAGAAUAUUCUGAGCAGUAGAAAGAAAUUUUAAAAUCAUCCAUAAUUUCAUCACUCUUAUUUUAAGAGAUGAGUUUAU
rnacentral:sRNA from 1 species